AUUGGAGCUCCAAGUCAUCUGCCGGCUGUUCCUUCUGUGCUAAAGUUCGGUUGAAUUCUUGAACAAGCCCACUUCGAUAGCAGCAGCAACUGAACUGAUUCUCUUACCUUGCUCUUCAUGAAGAACCUCCCUCCCUGGAGGGAUGUUUUGUUGCAGCGGGUUAGUAGGUUGAUCAAUGUCCAGUCCUCGGCAUGAUCCCAUGACAAGGAAUUCGGCGAACAUUCUUGCAGUUCCUUGAAUUUCUCGUUCAUGACUGUAUUCUUGUACGAGCCCAUCCGAUGUUUCAUGCCAUAGUCACGUCGAGGCAUUAGAGUAGGAGGGAGAUGUACGAGGAAUCUGGAAGGAACAACCUGCAUGUCAUAAUUCUAGUUAUCCAUUGGUAAUUCUUGAUGCCUUCUAUGCCUAUAUUUAUCUAAUUAGAUCUCUAAUAUAUAUGAGUCACAGCAAAAAAUGCAUAGAACAGUACAAGGUAUAUACUUCCAAGACAUGCUUUGCUUGGGAGAAGCC
rnacentral:lncRNA from 1 species